CGGUUGUGGGUGAGUGAGUGAUCCUGUACUGUCGAGAAAAGCUUCGUGAGCGAGGUGGCGGGUCCGCCCGUACCCUAAACCGACACUGGUGGAUAGGUAGAGUAUACCGAGGCGAUCGAGUGAAUCGUGGUGAAGGAACUCGGCAAAAUGCCCCCGUAACUUUGGGAUAAGGGGGACCUGAGCUGUCGUGCACCCGUGCGGUGUGGUGGCGGUGAGGGGCGCAGAGUCCAGGGGGAAACGACUGUUUACCAAAAACACAGGUCCGUGCGAAGUCGUAAGACGAUGUAUACGGACUGACUCCUGCCCGGUGCUGGAAGGUUAAGGGGAACUGUGAGUGUAUGCGUAGCGGUGAACUUAAGCCCCAGUAAACGGCGGUGGUAACUAUAACCAUCCUAAGGUAGCGAAAUUCCUUGUCGGGUAAGUUCCGACCUGCACGAAUGGAGUAACGA
rnacentral:rRNA from 1 species